CUGUAAUUAUGUUAGCCUUUAUUUGUUUCUUAUUAUUCUUUAUAACGUUACUUGUUUAUGUUAUGUUAUUAAUUUCAUGACAUUUUCCAGGUCCGUCGAGGCUCUCAUGCUAAAGCUUGUCACGUUACAGAUUUAGUCCAGUAGGUGGCGAUACGUAAACAGUUGAUUCUACAAACGCUAUUAACAGCAAGAGAAGAAGAAUUUUAAGAUUCCGCGGAAAUGUUUAGUUUUAAAUAAGUAUAAACCGAUUUCAUUUGUAUGCUCAUUAUUUGUUAUCUGAGUAGAAAUGCAUUUUAACAAGUAUAAAGAUAAACAUAAUCAAGAGUCGAAUUUGUCGUCUUCUUUUAUUAAUGCUCCCAAUGAUAAAACGCUGGUAAUGGCGUCUAAAGAGAAGAAGGAAAACAUAAGAAUUGGCAAACAGACGGCAACAGUGUACGCAGCAAAGAUAAAGACCAAAAUACACAAUACCUCAUCAUUCUUCAAGCUUUCUUUGAAAAGCAACAACAAGGCUCUGGCUCUGGCUCUUGUUGCUCAGAAGCAGAAGAGCAGAGAGCUGGAGGCAGAGGUGGUGCGACUGAGGAGAGAUGCGCAGACAACUCAUUUUGAUCUUGCUCAUCAGCGUCAUAAAAACAAACAACUGUUUGGAAUUAUACGAGAGUUUUAUGACUCUUCCCUAAACUGGAUGACAAAGGCAGUUGAUAUUUUUUGUAAUGAGGAGGAUCCAGACAAUAUGGACUCGGAAGACAAGACCAGUGAAGACCAAAUCAUUGAAAUGGGAGAGGUUCAGAGUUUGCAAGACAGACCUUUGUGUCCACAGCAGCAUCAUGUUCAGUCUAAACCAGUGAAUUCAGCCGGUGAUGCUCCCAGCCAAGAGAGAGAUAGUUCAGCACAGCAAAACACCAUAUAUGACUCUGAAAUGGAGAUGACCAUUAGUGAUAGUGCUGCUGAAAUAGUAACAGUUGAAACAAAUGCCAGAAAAACCUCUAGAGUUACAGAAGAACACCAGGAAAAGAAGGAUGUGUGUCUAUCAGAAAAAGGUAGUGAGUUUAUAUCUGCGAAGGAAGACUCACCAGUUGAAUUUAGUAGAUUAGAAUAUACAUCAGCUGUGCCAAAAGAGAUGACUGCUGUCACACAGCAGUGCUCUCCCACUGUUCAGAGAGAGGUGGAGAAUGGGCAGCAAAUGGACUCAAUAACUGCACGCAGGAAGACUCACGUCACCUCUCGUACUAAAAGUAGCAGACGCACAUGUAAACUGAACGAAUCAAAUCCAGAUCCAAGAAAAACGUACCUGAUCUCCCAAGAUCCUCAUGACAUUUUUAAUGACUGUUUUAGUGAUGCUGAGCUUCAGAAUUCUGAAAGAAGCAAGGCAAUGCCUUCACAUGGAAAUAUUUCAAAUAAAGCUGCUAAAAGCAAAGCUAAAGAGUCCCAUGCUACCCGGGAAACCAGGAGAACAAUUAUAGAUCAAGUUGAGCUAAGACCUCAGAAGAGCAGGAAGACCAAAGUCUUGUCCCUUAUGAUGGAUCACAGUUUAUCGGAUAUGCAUGAAAAUGUUCAAUCUGCCAGUACUUUAUGCCCAGAGGCUGCUUGUACGGAUGUCCAUGUCGGUGAGACCGCAGUUCAAAAACAUAAAAACAAAACUCCAGCAUACCCUCUUCCUCAGUCUGAAAAGUGCAAGACACAGAAAAACAGAGGAACAUUUGCGAUACAGGCAAGUCGAUCAUUAAUCAACAGGAAUUCAUUUUUGAAUGAAACCAAUAUAUUAGAAGAUCCCAACAGACUGGAAGGUUUACAGGAAGUAAUAUCAGAAACCCAAAUGACACCUCUCAGUAUUGGUUCAGAUAAUGUUGCACAACAGCACAAGGAGCCAGAGCAUGAUUUUCAUGAGAUACUGACAGAAAACACCUAUCAUCCCAAAUGUUCACAAGAUGUGAAUGCCAGCCUUGUACAGGAACCCUCUGAAUUUAUGUCAUCAGUGGCUGGCAAAGCCAAAAAACACAGAAAAGAGGGGGCAGAUAAAAUAAAAAAUAACGCAGCGGCUGCACCAAGAGAAAAACCCAAAGCAUUAACAAAGAAACAAAACCGUUGUGCUGUGAGUGUGGAUGAAACUGUGUUGACAAAAAGGCAAGAUGAGACUGAUCUUCAGAAUGGAGCAGGAUGCAGGUCUUUGUCUAAUACUUUACAGCUACCAGUAAUAUCUCAUUGCUCAGCCUCAAAGGAGGACCUCAGGGAUGAACAUAAUGCUGAAACCCUUGAAAUAAGUUCCCCUUCCUCUGUUGACGAGCUAGAUCAGACUGACCAUAUCAACGUGGACUCUCUUUGCAUAAAUCUGGAUCAAACCAACCAAGCACUUGAGGGCAGGUGCAGGAAAACAUACGUUGUUUCAUCUUGUGAUGAAUCACCCCUUAAGGAAAAGACUGACAGUGGGGCUUCCAGCGACAUUUCUGAACAUGAUCUUUUUACUAAUGAAACGGAUAAUGUUUCACCUGUUAUGAACAGAAGCAUGUUUGUCAUGGAAAAAUACAAUGUGACGUCAGAUGGUUUUAGUGGACACACAAAAGACCUUCAAUUCACAGAAGAGAGGCCUCCCUGGGAGACCCUUGAUGGUUACACUGAAGCACUCUUAGAUGAAAGCUCUGCCCACAGCCCUCAACCAGAGACCCGCUGUCAAACUAUGAACAUUUACCAGGACCAGGACUCAGACUUGAGGCACCAAGCUCCAGAAGAAGGCAGGGUUAUGAAGAGUCUAACAAAUACAGGGCAUAACUCUGAUUGCGGGAGAACACGGAGAAGAGCAGCACCAGUCUCCUACAAAGAACCAGCCCUCAACUGGUGAGUUACACUUGAAUGAUAUAACACAAUCUAAUGUAAUGCAAUAAA
ensembl:lncRNA shugoshin-like 2